UAAAAAAGAACAUCUUGCAAUAUAUUGCGAUACAUAUCGCAAUUUCUGCUUUCGCAUCGCAAUAUAUUGCAAUAUGAAAAUUCCCGGCAAUACCCAGCCCUAGUUCAAAUGAACUAAUAGUCUGAAAGAUUG